CUCUUCUCGCGGCAGCUGCUUCAAAGGCCUCACGGUCGGGCUCCGCAGCCGACCGCCUUAGGAGCCUUCAAACAAGCGGGGUCCUACCCGCGGCGCACGCCCCUGCUUCUUUCUCUCCCGCGCAGGGCGGAUGGACAAGAUGGCUGCGACCGGGCGGGGAGGCAGCAUCAAGAGAUAAUGGGAUUUGUCACACUACUACUAAACUGAGACUAAGCUUCAACCUUUUAUACAGAAUUAUUUGUUCAAAAAGGAGCUACUGCUCUACCAAAAGUGGAUGUCUAUGAAGUGCUGGACUGGGAGGCUGUGCACAUCUCUGAAGCAAUUAACUCCUACUUCAAAAACUUUACAGAAUGCAAACUCAAAUCUUUUAACAUUGUAUUUUGCUUGGCAACAAUAAAACAGUGACUGACUUUUCCCAGAGCUCUGACUUGAAUAACUGGGGAGAGGGGGAAGGCGAAGAUGUGCUCUGACUUGACCCGGUUCACAUCCAUCACAAGUGUCACUGCCGGGAUGUAUAUGAAAAGAAAGCACAGUUUCACCAAUCUUCACUUCAUCACCAUGCUCCAAGAUGUAUGGAUCACAUUUCGUUUUAGGCUACAGCAAAAGAAAGUUUUGGCAGCCACAGUUAUUAGUUACGAAUGCAGGGCACCAAUUCCAUUACAUGAAUACUGCUUAUAAUUUACUGAUAAAGUCUGAAGUAACAAAUGCACAUAAACAUUUAAAAUACAGUGGGUAUUUCACUCUAGCAACCCUAACAACAGUAGAUUUUUUCUAAUUCCUAAUACAAAACAAGCAUAAAAUACAAAGAAUGGCCCUAAAACCUGAAGGAAAUCAAGGAAUGACAAUAUUGUUAGCAAUUUGCCAUGACAUCUUUAAAGUAACCAUACAAUUAGUUUUCUGCAAUGUACACAGCACUGUAACAGCAAACACUCACCUGUAAAAUCUGAUUUCCAUUAACAACUGUUCCAUUCUGACUGCCUUGAUCCACAAGAACAUAAUUUUGCAAAUCAUGGUCAAAAUAUACUUCUGCAUGGAACUGACAAAUAGAAGAGUAAGUGAAACGUUCGCAUUAAGUAAAUACUUGACAAUUUAAAUGCUAUUUUAAAGUAAGAUUUCAGAAUGUAUUUGGGAGCCUCUUAGCUAUGUGGCUUUGGCACUCAAAGUUAACAGCACAUUCUAAGCAAUUUGAAAUGUACAUGAAUGAGUGGCAACAUCAUAAGCUAACACAUUAUAUUAAUAAUCUGUUUGAACCACAAAGUGUCUCUGUACUGAAAAAGCAUGUAUUUCCUAGAUAGAAGGUAUGCUUCACUUAAAAGAUUGAAAGACACAGUAAUAAGUAAUUCUUAGCUGUUCCAAUGAAUAAAUGGUAUUUUUUCCUUGUAAGGUAUGUUAUAGCACUCUCAAUUUUGCUCUUUCUGGAAGACAUCAAGAAGACACUUAUAGAGAAGUGUAAUUAAAAAAAGUCCGAUCUCAGUUUACAGGGCUCAGGUUACUUUCACAUUUGAAAUAGCUGGAAGUGGCACAUUUGCAUAAAUUUCAUGUAAUUCACUUUCACUUGCAUCUUAAUGCUUAGGGUAGAAUCACUAUGCAUUAUUUCCUGUUCCUUUUAGGUAAUUUCAUAAGUAGGCUAUCAAAGUCUAACAAACCAAUUAAAAAAAAAAUCUAUUGCCAUUCUAUAUGGAUAUUGGUCCCAUGUCCAGACAGAACAGAGAAAAUAAAACUCAUGGUCUUCCUGAAACAUAGGAAUCAAUUUACAAAUACAUUACCUUCAAAAAUGGCCACUAAGCUAACUAAAAUAUCUUCCACAAUCUAAGACUCCCAGUAAAAUCAGGGAAUCUAUACAAGAGAAUUUCAAAUUUGACAAAGAUCUCUUUUGCUAUAGCAGUGAAAAAACAUAAAUCAACCUGUGGAGAAAGUGCUCAUUUAAAACCAAAUCCCUUCUUACUUAGAGCAGAUGCUACUUGCCAGAGCAGUUGCUGAAUUCAGUAAGUUAAAACAGUAUUUCACAAAUUUAUACUACUUGGUUUAUGUUUGUAAUAGUGGAAAGAUCCACUAGGUAAUCUGUUUAGUAUUUUUAGUUCUACCUCCGUUUUACAUGAGCCGAAAGUACUUCAAGAGAUGUUAAAUCUGCAGCAAGUUAUUUAUUUCAAUCUCAUUUUACAUUUAAAGAAAAGUUAAUGCCACAGCUAUCAACUGCGAGUACUGAUGUAGUGGUUAAGUAGAUACUUAGAUAUGUAGAUAAGUGACAAUUAAGUAGAUACUUAAAAAGUAGUAACUUUUGGUUUCUAGACAUGUCAUCUAUCUUCAUGUGUGCCUCUUCAUUUACAAAGUGAAAUAACUUCUGCACACUGUUAUUUUAAUGAAAAGAAUUUCAAACAACUUCAGUAUCCACAAAAUAUUGGUAAAUAUUGUUGGCUGUGCUAAGAAGCAAGAGAGAAAAUAUAAAAGCUCUUUGGCUGUUCUAUAAUCCAGUUUCAAAUACAAGCCAGAAAAUGUCAUUAAUAGCAGGAACAGAUCAUCUCUAAAAAAUUUUCAGUAUAAAAUGUUACACAGCUUAUUAAUCAGAACUAUCGCCUGGAACAGACAUAGUAAAGCUUAUUUGAAAUACAUGCACUUGCAGGUGUUCUAUUGACUUUUUUGUUUAGAUUAUAGGUCUAUAAACAUACCUUGAAUUAAGAGAGCUAUAUUUAUGGUCUGUGUUGCAGUAGUUAGCAAACUUGAGCAAAUAAUUCAUUUUUAAUCUUUCUUAAGUACAAAUACUAUUCUAUGACAACAUCAUUUCAAUAAAAUUGUUAUAUUUUCAA